rnacentral:rRNA from 1 species
UACGUAGGUGGCAAGCGUUGUCCGGAAUUACUGGGCGUAAAGCGUGCGCAGGCGGUUUUGUAAGCCAGAUGUGAAAUCCCCGGGCUCAACCUGGGAAUGGCAUUUGGGACUGCAAGGCUUGAGUGCGGCAGAGGAGACUGGAAUUCCUGGUGUAGCAGUGAAAUGCGUAGAUAUCAGGAGGAAUACCGAUGGCGAAGGCAGGUCUCUGGGCUGACACUGACGCUCAUGCACGAAAGCGUGGGGAGCAAACAGG